GGGGGUUGGGCAAAACAAAAUGUGCAGGUUCGGGUGGGGCAACGGUCAGUCAGCAGAUCUGCCAAAAGCGACCGUUUUCUCGCGCAUUCCUCCUCCCCACCCCCAAUAUUUAUUUUUGCAUUAUUUUUCGUGUUGCAACAC
ensembl:ncRNA C06G1.17 ncRNA